UUAUACUGAUUAACUUAAUAGCAAGCUAUGUGCAAAAUAAGCAAAAAUAAAUAAAUAACUAAACAAAGUGCACAAUCCAUCCCUGUCAGCAUUCCCAAGACACAAGUGAAGGACAGUAUUGCAAUUUCUUAGUGUCAGCACUUCUAGUUUUGACAAGGUGCAAACUUUGGUUUGACAGAGAUAGUCUUCAAAGAGAUAAAACAGUUAGCAAAUAUUUUUAUUUGUUCUGAUUUGUGGGAAAGUGAAGGUCAGUUGUUAUGAAUUGCUUAGGGAGACAGGCUGACAGGAAGAUGAAGGGAGAAUACUCCAGGAGCCGAAAGAUGGAGGUCUUCAUCCAUUCUGAGAAUACCACAUUCUUGCAUAGAGGCUAAAGGUGCGUGCAGUGAAUUAGAGGUCUACUAUGGCAAUGCUAGGUAAACUGUUAAAAUCUUUUUCUUUUCGCAUGCUACCUUAAUCCAACUGUUGCAGCAAAAACAGAGUUCAAUGGUUCAGCUUUUGGGAAUGUCCUGCAUUCAGUCAUUGUGAUGUUGUGUACAUAAAACCCUCAUAAAUGGUUACUAAUAGUUCCCAAGCAACUUUUAAUAGACAAGCAGAUAUUUAAUGUGUUGAAAGAAUAAAACAAACAAACAAAAAACAACAUGAUAAUGGCACGGAUACAAUAAAUAAUGUUACGAAUUAAGUGAACAAAGAUGGCAAUCACCCUGGCUGACACCAGACAAAGUUGGGUGUCUACAAUCACUUAUGUUCAUUCAGUUAUCCUAACUGUCUUAGAUUUCUGUCCUAGUGGGGGAUGUAGCACAUUUUCUGUCCAUUGACGACAGUGGCAGCCAAGGCAACUAGCUUGGAUCUGAUGCCAAUGUUAGAUGGCUGAAAGGAGGUGAGAUAGACCAUGCCUAAUAUUUGUCAGUUCUCCUCAUACAGGAUUAUCCAUUCUAUUUUUGUAUGUAUGUAUACAUGAAGUCUCAAAAUAACCUAUAGACUUCAGCUCGCACAUCUAUGUGUGUGUUUAUGAACACAUAUGUAAACGUUUGCCAGUUUUUUUUUUUUUAAGGACAUGAUUCAGACUUUAAAACUUUAACUAUUAUACAUGGUAUAUGUCAUCUGGAAACUUGAAAAGUAAGGCAUCACCUAAAUCAUUUUCCAAACAAUUUCAGAAUUCUGCCAGCAAGUGGUUUGUCAUUUUCCCAAAUAGCAGCCUCCUCUGUGUUGGACCGAUGGUUAACUGCUACUCACUGCUGAAAUAAAAAUAUGAAGCCUAUCCCCAGAAUUGUGCCAGGCAUUGAGCGCUACAUACAAAUAGUUCCCUGGAUCACUAAUUAACUUAGACCAUGUUAAAUACUAUCUUUCCCCACAGCUCAACUCACAGGUAAUAAAAAUAUACAGCUGUAAAUUAAAUACAAAGGUAAAAUACAUGGAUAAAAAUACUUACAGAGCACAUAAAAUACAUUUUUUUUUUUUUUCUUGCUCUUAUUUUAACUGGGAUAGGAUCCACUGUUAAGGAGUUGAACACUAUUCUUAGUGUCCUGAAAGCUGCAUUGUGAUUAUGAUAACAGAGGUGUGAAGCUUCCUACUUACCACCUAGCUGACAUUGCUUACACAAUUAAGAUGAGCAAUAUGUUAACCAAGACGGUAUAGCCCAUCCUUUGUAAUUCAGUCUCAUAAAUCAAGGAAGGAAUAGUGUUACAGUAUAGAUGCCUUCUUUGUGAAAAAAAGAA